rnacentral:rRNA from 1 species
AAAGGAUGGAGAAUCUAUUCAUGUUAGGGGAUUAACGAUUGGAAUUAUUCGUUAUGAACACGGAAUGCCUAGUAAGUAUAAGUCAACAGGUUAUAUUGAUUAGGUCCCUGCCUCUUGUACACACCGCCCGUCGCUGCUACCGAUUGAAUAGUAAAUGUGAAAUGGGAG